UGCGAUGCUGACUUCGGGGGACGAUAACGGCGUCGAGCGGCGGACGGGUGAGUAAUGCCUAGGAAAUUGCCCUGAUGUGGGGGAUAACCAUUGGAAACGAUGGCUAAUACCGCAUGAUGCCUACGGGCCAAAGAGGGGGACCUUCGGGCCUCUCGCGUCAGGAUAUGCCUAGGUGGGAUUAGCUAGUUGGUGAGGUAAGGGCUCACCAAGGCGACGAUCCCUAGCUGGUCUGAGAGGAUGAUCAGCCACACUGGAACUGAGACACGGUCCAGACUCCUACGGGAGGCAGCAGUGGGGAAUAUUGCACAAUGGGCGCAAGCCUGAUGCAGCCAUGCCGCGUGUGUGAAGAAGGCCUUCGGGUUGUAAAGCACUUUCAGUCGUGAGGAAGGUGGUGUAGUUAAUAGCUCUAUUAUUUGACGUUAGCGACAGAAGAAGCACCGGCUAACUCCGUGCCAGCAGCAGGAUUAGAUGUGUUCGGAUUGAUGAUUCUACUUACCUAA
rnacentral:rRNA from 1 species